rnacentral:rRNA from 1 species
ACUCAAAUGAAUUGACGGGGACCCGCACAAGCAGUGGAGCAUGUGGUUUAAUUCGAAGCAACGCGAAGAACCUUACCAGGACUUGACAUCCUUUGACCACUCUAGAGAUAGAGCUUUCCCUUUCGGGGGACAAAGUGACAGGUGGUGCAUGGUUGUCGUCAGCUCGUGUCGUGAGAUGUUGGGUUAAGUCCCGCAACGAGCGCAACCCUUAAUCUUAGUUGCCAGCAUUCAGUUGGGCACUCUAAGGUGACUGCCGGUGACAAACCGGAGGAAGGUGGGGAUGACGUCAAAUCAUCAUGCCCCUUAUGUCCUGGGCUACACACGUGCUACAAUGGGCAGUACAAAGGGUAGCGAAGCCGCGAGGUGGAGCCAAUCCCAUAAAGCUGCUCUCAGUUCGGAUUGCAGGCUGCAACUCGCCUGCAUGAAGCCGGAAUUGCUAGUAAUCGCGGAUCAGCAUGCCGCGGUGAAUACGUUCCCGGGUCUUGUACACACCGCCCGU